AUGAACGCUGGCGGCGUGCCUAAUACAUGCAAGUCGAGCGAACGGACGAGAAGCUUGCUUCUCUGAUGUUAGCGGCGGACGGGUGAGUAACACGUGGAUAACCUACCUAUAAGGCUGGGAUAACUUCGGGAAACCGUAGCUAAUACCGGAUAAUAUUUUGAACCGCAUGGUUCAAAAGUGAAAGACGGUCUUGCUGUCACUUAUAGAUGGAUCCGCGCUGCAUUAGCUAGUUGGUAAGGUAACGGCUUACCAAGGCAACGAUGCAUAGCCGACCUGAGAGGGUGAUCGGCCACACUGGAACUGAGACACGGUCCAGACUCCUACGGGAGGCAGCAGUAGGGAAUCUUCCGCAAUGGGCGAAAGCCUGACGGAGCAACGCCGCGUGAGUGAUGAAGGUCUUCGGAUCGUAAAACUCUGUUAUUAGGGAAGAACAUAUGUGUAAGUAACUGUGCACAUCUUGACGGUACCUAAUCAGAAAGCCACGGCUAACUACGUG
rnacentral:rRNA from 1 species